CUAGCAGAACUGACCCAAAAGGACAGCAGCUCCUGCCUUUGUGUGGGGAGUGGAGCUUAUCCCAUGGGCAACAAUGAUUGGUUCUGGGAUGGCCACACACCCUAAGCCAGUCCAAUAAGAAUGAAUCUUGGGAAUUUCUGUGGACGCCCUGAGAUUUUUACUCUUUCCUACUGAGCUCAACCCUGAAGUUAGUCAUUCUGCAGCCAUCUAGCCUUCAACAUGGAGAGAGCCACAACAUGGAGUUCAAGAAUGGCAGAGCUGAGAGACCAAGAGAAAAUGAGUCCUGGUGGUACUCUCAGCCCUGGAGCAAUCUAGACCUGAAGCCAGAAAAAUACUCCUGACUUUUCCAGUGCUUG
rnacentral:lncRNA from 1 species